rnacentral:rRNA from 1 species
UACGGGGGAUGCAAGCGUUAUCCGGAUUUAUUGGGUUUAAAGGGUGCGUAGGCUGUGAGGUAAGUCAGCGGUGAAAUGCCCCCGCUCAACGGGGUGAAGUGCCAUUGAUACUGCCUUGCUGGAAUGCGGAUGCCGUGGGAGGAAUGUGUGGUGUAGCGGUGAAACGCAUAGAUAUCACACAGAACACCGAUUGCGAAGGCAUCUCACGAAUCCGCUAUUGACGCUGAUGCACGAAAGCGUGGGUAUCAAACAGG